CUGAUGUAAGUCCAGCGAUUGGCAUUCGGUUUCCCGGUUUGCUUAUUUGUGUGGAGUCUGACGUAAGUCCAGCGAUUGGCAGUUGGUUUCCUGUGUGUUUUGUUUGGCGCGCGUUAGCCGAGCUACGAGUGCUCUGAUUCUUCCUCUGGUUAGAGAAGAUACGUAUGCAUAGGAUGCGACAUCCUAGCGAGCACGUUUUCC
rnacentral:lncRNA from 1 species